CAGGGGUCUGGGCGCGGCGAGAUCUGGUGUGGCAGAUGUGGAUAGCUGGACCCUCCUGGGUGCCUCUGCGUUAUGUCGUUUGGUUGAUGCAUUUGGAGAGAAUCUGUGCUCUCCACACCUGCAGGGGCAACAUGCUUUCCUGGCCUCUUCAGAUCAGGGUGGCUGUUCUUGGGUGCUGCACCAAAACUCCAGCAGUGGGCUUUCUUCAAGUGGCCGGCUCACCUCAUUCCUGCCAAGACCCAGGUCCGUGUUCUCACAGCGCUGCCAUCUUUCCUCCGUGUGAGCGUGUGCUGUGCGGAGAGUGGACCUCGGUGUGUGCGGGGCUGCGUGCACUGCCAUCGGCUCCCUCUACACGAGCCGCCGUGGACCCAGGGCUGAGCUGUGACCACGAGGGCCAUCCCGACGAGCCGCCGUGGACCCAGGGCUGAGCUGUGACCACGAGGGCUAUCCCGACGAGCCGCCAUGGACCCAGGGCUGAGCCGUGACCAUGAGGGCCAUCCCGAAACUGUGAUUGUUUUCUGAUGAAGAAACCAAGGCUUUGUGACUAACUCAACCCCUCAAGAAGGACAAAACUAGCAUCAGAGCCCCUUGCUCCUGGGUCUGGCAAGAAUGCCUCUUGUUUGCUGAGAGGUCCACAGAUUUACCCGGCUCAAGACUGGGAGAUGGGAGGUGACCAGGUCAGUGCCAGCCUCUCUCUGAGCUCCUCUGAGUCGUGGCAGCUGAGGUGCUCCUCCGGGAAUGUUCUGCCAUCCGUGAGGUCGUGUACGCCUGGAAGCUUUUGUUCCAUUGAACUCUGCCAGGGAGCUAUACUUAGCCACGCGAGUGGUGGCCAGGAGUGGGUUCUCUGAAUAUAGAUAGUAGCAAGCAGGCUAUUUUCAAACACCUAGAGAACCGCCAUGAUUAUUCUGGGCCAAAAUGAUAUUUAUAGGAUGCUCUGGGCCCUUGGACAUGAAGGCAAUAACCUUAGCGCCUUUUGGCGUUCGGGAUAAGUUUCUUUCAACGGGGAGUGGAGAGAGGGACCCGGUCACCCAGAGGCCCGCUGUCCCUCAACACCUGUUUCCAGGAGGCCAGGCGUCCUCUUUGCUUUUACACUGUGAGUCAGAGAACAGCGAGAGGCACGCAGGGCCCCACUAAUUUUCCUUCCUGCACACCCUGGUGUGGGUCCUGUCUGAGGCCUGCCGCGUGCUAUCAGGGAAGACGUCAUCAGGGGACUUUUCCUGCUGUGAGGAGGGUGCAGCCCCCGCCUUUCAGAGCUCGGGACACCCUCUUCCUCUUGUCCAGGAUCCUCAGGGAUUUCCUAGGCUUCCACCCUCACCCAGACAUCACUGGGCCGUCACUGAAACACCCGCUUCCAGUGUGCUCAGGUCCUGCAGCCUCCUGUCCAUCCUUGCCCCGCCUCCCGCCCGGAGGAAAGACUCUGACACUGCCCCUGGAAGAGGGAGGAGAGUGGAUGUGAUGAGUGAAGAUUUGGGUGGGGAAAGGAUGGCCUGAGUCCUGGGAGGAAGAGCUCUCCCGGCCCCGAGCCCCCGGAGACUGUGAGCAAGGCUGAGACGCCUCCUUCCUGGUGCUCAAGCUGCAGGUGUUGGAUAGGGCUCCAGAAGCCCAGAUUUUAAAUGACCGCUCCAGGUUAACCUGGGGAUGGUCAGGCAGAACAAGGAGGAGAGGCCAGCAGUGAAGGGCAGGGCUGGUGGGCAGUGGCUGGGGGUGUCCUGGGUGGAGCUGGCCACCCUGGCUGCCUCUGACUUGGGCCAGACCUGCGUUAAGUGGAGUGGCUCCUCCAUUCUUUACACCCCAGGCCGCUGGCAGGUGCCCUGCCUUUCCUCUGCCCCUCUCUCUGCCAAUCCAUCCUCUCCCUCCCAGCCCCUCCCCGCCCAGAUAUAAAUAUAAGAGCAUUUUCCAUGGGCUGAGACAGAAGGGAAAACAUUCAGCUUUAUUUUCGGCUUGUGAAAUUCCUGUCCUUCAUUCCCAACAGGUGCAAUCGCCUCAUUUAGAUAUUGGGACCCAGAAAUAGAACACAAUUAACAAUAUAGCUUCCUUUAGGGAUCUGGAUGCUACAAAAAAAACAGACAAAAAAAAAAGCC
rnacentral:antisense_RNA from 1 species